rnacentral:rRNA from 1 species
GAUGAACGCUGGCGGCGUGCCUAAUACAUGCAAGUCGAGCGAACAGACGAGGAGCUUGCUCCUUUGACGUUAGCGGCGGACGAGUGAGUAACACGUGGGUAACCUACCUAUAAGACUGGGAUAACUUCGGGAAACCGGAGCUAAUACCGGAUAAUAUUUCGAACCGCAUUGUUCGAUAGUGAAAGAUGGCUUUGCUAUCACUUAUAGAUGGACCUGCGCCGUAUUAGCUAGUUGGUAAGGUAACGGCUUACCAAGGCAACGAUACGUAGCCGACCUGAGAGGGUGAUCGGCCACACUGGAACUGAGACACGGUCCAGACUCCUACGGGAGGCAGCAGUAGGGAAUCUUCCGCAAUGGGCGAAAGCCUGACGGAGCAACGCCGCGUGAGUGAUGAAGGUCUUCGGAUCGUAAAACUCUGUUAUUAGGGAAGAACAAACGUGUAAGUAACUGUGCACGUCUUGACGGUACCUAAUCAGAAAGCCACGGCUAACUACGUG